rnacentral:rRNA from 1 species
GUAGGUGGCAAGCGUUGUCCGGAAUUAUUGGGCGUAAAGCGCGCGCAGGCGGUCCUUUAAGUCUGAUGUGAAAGCCCACGGCUCAACCGUGGAGGGUCAUUGGAAACUGGGGGACUUGAGUGCAGAAGAGGAGAGUGGAAUUCCACGUGUAGCGGUGAAAUGCGUAGAGAUGUGGAGGAACACCAGUGGCGAAGGCGACUCUCUGGUCUGUAACUGACGCUGAGGCGCGAAAGCGUGGGGGGAGCAAACAGGAUUAGAUACCCUGGUAGUCCACGCCGUAAACGAUGAGUGCUAAGUGUUAGAGGGUUUCCCGCCCUUUAGUGCUGCAGCAAACGCAUUAAGCACUCCCGCCUGGGAGUACGGCCGCAAGGCUG